GCCCCGGUAGCGCUACGAGUUAGUUAGCACGCAUCCUUGGAAAGAAUAAGACGCGGGUUCGAACCUCGUCCGAGGUU